UGCGUAGGGGGCAAGCGUUGUCCGGAAUCAUUGGGCGUAAAGAGCGUGUAGGCGGCCCGAUAAGUCCGCUGUGAAAGUCCAGGGCUCAACCCUGGAAUGCCGGUGGAUACUGUCGGGCUCGAAUCCGGAAGAGGUGAGUGGAAUUCCUGGUGUAGCGGUGAAAUGCGCAGAUAUCAGGAGGAACACCGGUGGCGAAGGCGGGUCUCUGGGCCGAAAUUGACGCUGAGGAGCGAAAGCGUGGGGAGCAAACAGG
rnacentral:rRNA from 1 species